CCGGAGUCCCCGCGGCGGCGGCGGUCCGGGGUGAGGGCGAGCCCGGCGCGGCGAGUGUGCCUAGGGGACCAAGCGCUACCACGAGGCCGGGACGCUGGACCCUGGGGUCGGUUUUCAAGAAGGGGGAGGAGACUUGGAGGAUACCCCAGCUCCUGGCCGUAGCUGACCCCACCGCCUUCCCUGCGGAAUCCUUUCCCUCACUCCGCAGCCCGCACGCCAGCUGCCACCUUACUGGAGAAUAACCACACCUAUGCUUCUAUCCGCUUUGGAGAAGAGGUGAGCUGAGAAACCAGGGAAUCCCCUGUAGCUCCAGGUCUCUUAGCUAGAACCCCAACACCCUAGAAUUGGCAGAAAGCGCACCUUUCACCUGCUGAUUGCGUUCAGCACAUCUGUCUUCAACCUCCUGGCAAGUUGUGGUCCACAGUUGUGUCGGGAUUUUUCUCUUCCUUCACCCCUGUACCCUACCACUGGCAACCAACGGCUGGGCUUAGGUUGUGAAAGGGAGAGGUGGUCCCCUUGGGCCCAGUGUGCUGUGUUUUAUUCCCCAGUGAGUCUUCCAAUCGAAAUCUGCUCACAUCUUGCAGUCCCCUCUACCCUUCUCCUAAACUUAGCUCAGAAGCAGGCCUAAGCAGCCUGUCUUCUGGCUUUUUUUUUUCCCCUGGGCGGCACCCUGGCCCCUUUUGGUUUUCCAGAGCCAAACACGCCUCCCAAGCAGACGGCACACCCAGCCCCAAGUCUAACCAUUCCAAAGGGAGGAGGAAACAAGGGAAGAGAAGGGACUUAAGGGUUUCUGUCUGGAAUAUCAUAACAGUAUUUCCCUCUUCAAGCCUCCUAGAUAUAUAAUCCCUGUGUUAUUCUUACCAACGUGUUAUUCUGUUAUGACUGUGUUAUUCUACCACCCUUCUUGCCCCUGGUCCUUCAUAGAUUAUUGGAGGAAGAAGAUGGAUAGAGAAAGAGAUGGUCACCCUUAUUCUCUAGAAGGAGACAUUUUUCUCCUUUCAUUUGUGACAUAUUCAGCAUGUAAAAUAAGUAAAUGUUUGGACGCUUAUUUGAA